rnacentral:misc_RNA from 1 species
UGUUCCUCGAGGAGAGGCUGGAAUGUUUUCGAGUUCUGAAAUAUGAUGUGGAGACUGAUCGGCCGAGAACUAAAGAUUUGGACACGCCGGAAUUGCUUGAACAGUUACCAGCCUUACAACAACUUCUGUAUCGUAUUAACGGCUGUCAGCCACAAGGGGCAUCUGCUCACAAUUUUGUGAUUCAGUUAGCACUUUCGAUGGUUGCUUCAGAAAGCAUUAAAAUCUACAAUGCUAUCAGUGAUGGUACAG